rnacentral:rRNA from 1 species
GACGAACCGAGCGACCGUUGUUCGGAAUCACUGGGCUUAAAGGGCGCGUAGGCGGGCAUUCAAGUCUGUGGUGAAAUCCUCCAGCUCAACUGGAGAACUGCCAUGGAUACUGGGUGUCUCGAGGGUGGUAGGGGUAUGCGGAACUAUCGGUGGAGCGGUGAAAUGCGUUGAUAUCGGAAGGAACGCCGGUGGCGAAAGCGACGGACUGGAUCUCUUCUGACGCUGAGGCGCGAAAGCCAGGGGAGCAAACGGG